rnacentral:rRNA from 1 species
UACUAGAGUAGCACUCGCAUAUCAAUAAGCGGAGGAAAAGAAACUAACAAGGAUUCCCCUAGUAACGGCGAGUGAAGCGGGAAGAGCUCAAAUUUGAAAUCUUAAAGGGUUUCCCUCUACGAAUUGUAGUUUAAAGAAGUGUUUUCUGUUGAGGUUUUGGUAAAAGUUCUUUGGAAUAGGACAUCAUAGAGGGUGAGAAUCCCGUAUUUGACCUUUACUUUCAACUUUGUGAUACACUUUCAAAGAGUCGGAUUGUUUGGGAAUGCAGUCCAAAAUGGGUGGUAAAUUUCAUCUAAAGCUAAAUAUUGGCGAGAGACCGAUAGCGAACAAGUACCGUGAGGGAAAGAUGAAAAGAACUUUGAAAAGAGAGUUAAACAGUACGUGAAAUUGUCAAAAGGGAAGCGUUUGACACCAGUGUUGUUUUUCUGAAAAUCAAUUAAAGAACUGUUUAUGCUAAGUUGUUUAGACUUUAUCAGCUAAUCUGUUUAGUUUUGAGCUUUUCUUUAAUGCACUUUUCAGUUAACAAGUCAACAUCAAUUUCUUUUGCUGUAAAAAAGCUUGAGGAAGGUGGCUUGAGAUUCGUCUUAAGUGUUUAUAGCCUCUUGCCUAUGCAGUCGGAGAGAUUGAGGUCUGCAGCGUAGAUCCUUCGGGGCUAAACGCAUUUGUGCUAAGUUAUAGCAUUUUAUAGACAACUUGUUGACUAUGAUUUGUCUUGUAGCUUACUCGCUUAUGUUAUUUUACCUACGCUUAGGAUGUUGAGCGCAUGUCUCUCUCU